CUGCAACUCGCCUGCAUGAAGUUGGAAUUGCUAGUAAUCGCGAAUCAGAAUGUCGCGGUGAAUACGUUCCCGGGCCUUGUACACACCGCCCGUCACACCAUGAGAGUCGAUAACACCCGAAGCCUGUGAGCUAACCUUUUAGGAGGCAGCAGUCGAAGGUGGGGUUGAUGAUUGGGGUGAAGUCGUAACAAGGUAAC
rnacentral:rRNA from 1 species